AUGUACACUCUGACAGUAAUAAUCUCCUGCAUCUUCAGUCUGGACAUUAUUGAUGCUGGUCCCACAGUGAAGCCCUCCGUGUCUCUGCUCCCCCCCUCCUCUCUGCAGUUGUCUGAGGGAUCCUUCUCACUGCUCUGCCUGCUGUCUGGCUACUCUCCACAGGGGGCGCAGGUGAGCUGGACAGUGGACAGCUUAGAGGUGAAAGAGGGGGUUCUGACCAGUGUAGAAGAAGAGAAGCGUGGCCGGUACAGCCGCAGCAGCACCCUGACACUCAGCAAAGCACUCUGGGAAAGGGGGGAGGAGUUUGUCUGUACGGUCUCCCAUGACAACGUGGACCAGCGAGUCUCGAUCCUAAAGAGCCACUGUGAAGGCUAG